rnacentral:rRNA from 1 species
AUUGAACGCUGGCGGCAUGCCUUACACAUGCAAGUCGAACGGUAACAGGUUAAGCUGCCGAGUGGCGAACGGGUGAGUAAUGUAUCGGAACGUGCCCAGUCGUGGGGGAUAACUGCUCGAAAGAGCAGCUAAUACCGCAUACGACCUGAGGGUGAAAGCGGGGGAUCGCAAGACCUCGCGCGAUUGGAGCGGCCGAUAUCAGAUUAGGUAGUUGGUGAGGUAAAGGCUCACCAAGCCGACGAUCUGUAGCUGGUCUGAGAGGACGACCAGCCACACUGGGACUGAGACACGGCCCAGACUCCUACGGGAGGCAGCAGUGGGGAAUUUUGGACAAUGGGCGCAAGCCUGAUCCAGCCAUGCCGCGUGCGGGAAGAAGGCCUUCGGGUUGUAAUCCGCUUUUGUCAGGGAAGAAAAGGUUCUGGCUAAUACCUGGGACUCAUGACGGUACCUGAAGAAUAAGCACCGGCUAACUACGUG